GACGAACGCUGGCGGCGUGCUUAACACAUGCAAGUCGAACGGAAAGGCCCUGCUUGCAGGGUACUCGAGUGGCGAACGGGUGAGUAACACGUGGGUGAUCUGCCCUGCACUUCGGGAUAAGCCUGGGAAACUGGGUCUAAUACCGGAUAGGAGCCAUUUUUAGUGUGAUGGUUGGAAAGUUUUUUCGGUGUAGGAUGAGCUCGCGGCCUAUCAGCUUGUUGGUGGGGUAAUGGCCUACCAAGGCGGCGACGGGUAGCCGGCCUGAGAGGGUGGACGGCCACAUUGGGACUGAGAGACGGCCCAGACUCCUACGGGAGGCAGCAGUGGGGAAGAUUGAACGAUGGGCGCAAGCCUGAUGCAGCGACGCCGCGUGGGGGAUGACGGCCUUCGGGUUGAAAACUCCUUUCGCUAGGGACGAAGCUUUUUGUGACGGUACCUAGAUAAGAAGCACCGGCUAACUACGUG
rnacentral:rRNA from 1 species